rnacentral:sRNA from 1 species
GUGUUGGCGGUGGCGCCGCGCAGUCAUCGCGGAGCUGACGCGGAGGCUGGUGGGCGCUGGGAGCGAUGCCGUACGCCAACCAGCCUACCGUGCGGAUCACGGAGCUCACUGACGAGAAUGUCAAGUUCAUCAUCGAGAACACCGACCUGGCGGUGGCCAAUUCGAUUCGGAGGGUCUUCAUCGCUGAGGUGCCCAUAAUAGCCAUUGACUGGGUUCAGAUUGAUGCCAAUUCCUCAGUCCUUCAUGAUGAAUUCAUCGCUCACAGGCUUGGAUUAAUUCCCCUCAUUAGUGAUGACAUUGUGGACAAGCUGCAGUACUCUCGGGACUGCACAUGUGAGGAGUUCUGCCCCGAGUGCUCGGUGGAGUUCACCCUCGACGUGCGGUGCAAUGAAGACCAGACGCGACAUGUCACAUCUCGAGACCUCAUCUCCAACAGCCCCCGGGUCAUUCCGGUCAGUGCGGGAGAGCAUCCUCUUUUCCCUGGGAUCUUUUCUCUUCUCUUGCUGGCUCCAAGUGACCCAGACUGGGGUUGAUCCUUAGAAAAUGUUGGCUUUCCCUGUUACCCUCUGCCUUAAUCUGAUCCCUAGAAGUGCUAAUUCUGGAUUCUUCUUGGGCAUCGUUAGCAUCAUUGGUGCUGCGCACCCUCUGUCACCCAGGGACUCUUUUAAAGGCCAUGGAAUUGUUUUGCCUGAGGCUAUCACCACACCCUGAAGUGGGGGUUGGAGUCCUGGGGGCAUCUGUGCCACCACCUCGUCAGGUGUUCGUUCCCUGGUUGACAGAUUGCAGUCUAGAGGUGCUGGGAUAUGGAUGCCAGAGGAGGUGACUGGGGAGGUGAGCAGCUAAUGAAUGCCUGGUGGACUCCCUACAGGUGACGUCCCGGAACCGAGAUAAUGACCCCAAUGACUACGUGGAGCAGGAUGGUAAGUCUUCCUGACCUGUCACCGUGUGGGCCAGCGGGAAGGAGGGACCAGACACAGCCUCUCGUGCUGCCUGGUCUCCUCGAAGAUUGGCUUUAGACCAUUUUUCCAGAUGUGUGUGGUCUUGCAUUGGCACUCCAAGUCA